rnacentral:rRNA from 1 species
CCUGAGAAACCCGAAAGGUCGAAGGAGAAAUUCAUUCGCGUUUCGCAGUAAGCGUUAAGCGGUGUGUGUGACGAGAUGGGAUUCUUCCUGUUCCGCGCCCUCUGUUUUUCGAUCUUGCAGCGAACGCGUGCACUUUUCUCCUGGUAGGACGUCGCGAUCCGUUGGGUGCCGAUUUACGAAUGUUGCGAUGGAGCCCGUUUGUAGCGUCCGCAAGGACGUUUAUUACUUACGAACUCGUGCAUUCCAAUCGGCUCGCUCGACGGUAUAAUAGAUAACGGUUAAGAGCCGCUUUUAUAGCGUUCGACUCGUUGGCAAGCGCGCUAGUUUUGAUUGGCCAUCGGACCUGGUGCCGAUUCUAAUCGCUAGUGACUGUUGGCUACGAUGUUCUCGGACAGACUCUUUUUUAUUUUGAAAACCGAUCUGCGACGCUAUAGCUUUGGGUAAUUUCAGGACCCGUCUUGAAACACGGACCAAGGAGUCUAGCAUGUACGCGAGUCAUUGGGAAUUAUUAAACCUAAAGGCGUAAUGAAAGUGAAGGUCUGUCUUUACGAUAGAUCGAGGGAAGACGAUGAACCUCAAGGGGUUUUUCUGCACUCCCGGAGCAUCUCAUUCUCAUUGCGAGAGGAGGUGCACCAAGAGCGUACACGCUGGGACCCGAAAGAUGGUGAACUAUGCCUG